rnacentral:misc_RNA from 1 species
AAAAAAAAUAUGUUCCGUUCAUUCAGGUUGGCUUAUGCUCUAAUUUUGGAUAGGACUAGUUAGGAGAUAUUGGAAAUUUGGUUACUGUAAAUUACUAAAUUUAUAAUUGAGGUGACCAAUGAACACCUCUCGGUAUCCAUAUGAAGAUGUGUUAUCGUUACAGGGUAAUUUCACCAUUAAUGCUAUGUUUGGAAGUUUGGAGAUGUAAGAGAAACUGUUUUUAUAAAAUAAAGUAUGGAACUAAUAGGAAGUAAAUUUGGUUUGUUACCUUCUCUCUAUCUAGAUAUUUUAAUAAAGGCCGGGGUUAUGAAAAUAGACGAGAAAAGUAACACAUCUUUUCCGUGUUUUGCUAAGUGUAGGAGAAGAGAAUUUAAAAAAAAAAAAGUUU